rnacentral:rRNA from 1 species
CCCGCACAAGCGGUGGAGUAUGUGGUUAAUUCGAUGCAACGCGAAGAACUUACCUGGUCUUGACAUCCCGGAGACCCUUAGGAAACUAGGGGGUGCUUCCAUCUGGAAGAAUCUGGAGACAGGUGCUGCAUGGCUGUCGUCAGCUCGUGUCGUGAGAUGUUGGGUUAAGUCCCGCAACGAGCGCAACCCUUGCCUUUAGUUGCCAGCAGUUCGGCUGGGCACUCUAAAGGGACUGCCGGUGUUAAACCGGAGGAAGGUGGGGAUGACGUCAAGUCCUCAUGGCCUUUAUGACCAGGGCUACACACGUACUACAAUGGCCGAUACAAAGGGCAGCGACACUGCGAGGUGAAGCCAAUCCCGUAAAAUCGGUCUCAGUCCGGAUUGGAGUCUGCAACUCGACUCCAUGAAGUUGGAAUACGCUAGUAAUCGUGGAUCAGCAUGCCACGGUGAAUACGUUCCCGGGCCUU